UUGAACAUCUCAAUGCAUUUCUUCACAAGAUUCUUCCUUAUAACCUUGAGGAUUUUAUUCUGUUGGAGCAUCUCACGAGAAAUGUUAAGAGGCAAAUCAUCAGAAUCAACAACACCCUUAACAAAGCCCAGGUACUCAGGAAUUAGCUCCUCACAGUUGUCCAUAAUGAAGACCCUUCUAACAUAAAGCUUUAUAUUGUUCAUCUUCUUGCGGGUGUCAAAGAGAUCAAAUGGAGCCCUCUUUGGAACAAAGAGGAUAGCCUUGAAUUCAAG
rnacentral:misc_RNA from 1 species